GGGUGUAUAUGUCCUAACACUAUGACAAAUUUCCAAGUAAUUAAACUAAUUCAGCUUCAAGUAUCUUAUCAAACAUGAUGGAGCUAAAACUCAAAAGAGUGUAAUGUAUAACUUAAGACUGCACUCUAAAUGCUCAAAUCCAGGAAAUACCAAUUAAUAUGAAUUGAGGCUUGCAUUUCUACCUUGAUAUUCUAUAAAGUAGCCAAGUGCCAAACUAUGCAACUUUGAUUAAUUAAAAAAAAUGAAUUAUUAGUAGAUGAGAUUUAGAGGGAAACAAAUUGAUUAACACUAUUUAUUUGAGAUAUAUCUCACAAUAUCAAUAACCUCAAGCCCAUACAAUGUUUCAAAGAAGUAAGAGAACAAGAAUUAUUUCCUGACAGUAUUUACAGCCCACAACAGCGUCACUGGAACUUAGGAUUAUCUCUAUUCACUAUAAAUGAAUUUAUUUGCAAGGUAGGAAAGCAGAUAAUGUGCCUUCUGAUGCAGAAUGUAGUCUUAUAUCUGCUAUUAAUUUAAAACAACUUAUUCACUUCUCGAUCAAGAAGUAAUUGAAAUCAAUUUAUUACAAGAUAUUUAGUCAUCUACCAAAGCAAGUACCAAGAGAUAAUACAUAACUUUUAAUUUGUUUUAGCAUCAGCAAUGAAUAAAGGUACCACAAGUCUGAAUCAGAAGAAAAUCAAAACCUGAGUUACAGCUACAGCAAAUUGUUAGAAUCACUUACCUACCCAUGUCUUAAUGAGCAUAAUCAGUUCCCCACCCAUGUCCUAAUAAGAAUAAUCAGUUGCUUACCCAUGUGCCAAUAAGCAUAAACCUUAUUUGAGCAUAUUGUAUGACGGCGGUAGAAAGCACACUCGUACACAACCAUGACCACAGCAUGAAUGCUAACAAGCGUGCUCUCUCUCGUCGUCAACCAAUCAUGUCAAAACUAAGGGCAACCUGCAAAAAGAGUUAUAAAAGUAUGAAAAUGCAGUUAAAAUUAUCUAGUAUACUAAAAAUUACCUGAAACCGUAUCAAUAACCCAUUAAAACAACCAAUAUAUCUUUCUACCAGCACAAGAUGAUAAGAAAUUGGAGUAUAACUAUCUCAUUCAUUUAUAUUCUAGGAAUCCUAAACAGCAGAAAUUGCAACACCAUGUAAGCACAACACUCAUAAACUAAUUACCAAUAUUCCUUUGUAACCAUAUAAAAAGUAUUAAUCUCUUUAAGAAAGGAAGAGAAAUUUGUUCUUUUGCCUGUUGGGCUGUUAAAAAUAAAAGCACAAGCCACUCAACCUCAUGUUCUUAGGCAAGGGAUCCACACUCCACUAUGCAACCAUACCACUUGAACAUCCGGAAAACAAGAUCCACCAAAAAUCUAAAAUGAGCUAAUAAUAAUACAAUAUCACAUGCAAUAAAACAUUUACAACCUUAAAAAUUUAUGGCCAUUAAAAUUCCAGGAAAUUACUGUAAAGCAUAUAGUCUUAACUAUGAAAAUAACCAAGCAUGUUACCAACAUGAGAGAGGAAAAAUUUUAAAACCUCAUCAGAAAAUGGAAACACAAAGUCCCAGCUACCUCCAGGCAUAACAAAAAAAUCAUGAAGCAAAUCGCAAAACUCAAGAGCACCAACAAGCACCAGAGAAACGAGUUUUAGAGAUCCACAAAUGCGCCACCAUAAAAGCAAGAAAUCAACUUGAAGAAUCGGAGAAUCCGGAUAUAGCCAGACCAAGGACAUUACAGUGUACGAGCUUCUGAAGCAAGGAAGAAUAUAAAGGGAUAGACGAAUAGGCUAAAAGAGAAAAAGUUUAGGAAAUGCG
rnacentral:misc_RNA from 1 species